UUCAACUUAUGUAUGUUCAGAUGCAGAAAGACUCAUGUGCAACAGGCCAUUCCUACUCUCUCUCUCUCUCUCUCUCUCUCUCUCUCUCUCACACACACACACACACACACAAACACACGCACACUGGUUACCACUUCAUCCUACUCCUUAACCAUUAUUCGUACAUCUAAAUGAUCCUAAAAUUCAAAUUUUUCUAUUUUGGGAUAUUGUUAUAUGCUCCGUCUGUUGUAUUACAAGAUCAUUCUCUAUACCCUGCUUCCAUUAAUUUCCUUUUAGAACAUGGCUUUGGCGGUUGAUAUCCUGAGCAGAAAAGGAAUACUGUUUCUCAAUCCUCAUGUUUUAAUUUAUGCUAAAUUACAGUUCCAUUAAUAUAUGAACUUUGAAACUAUUUUAUUUCUAUUUUUGAUUUUUUUCCAUAAAUGCAACUGCACCGUGUUGAAGGUAGUCAACCAUAAUAGCAUAACUGAAUCAGAUAAGGUGGAGUUAAUUUUUUCCUUCUCCAAUUAUUUUUACUUUUGUUCUUAUAUGGUUUGGUGUUAAUAUGCUCAUUAAACUGUCAGUCCCAAAGGCUGUCUUAACUUACAUUAAAUGAGGUUUGGAACACAAACCGUUCCAUUCUGUUCUGUUCUGUUUUGUUCUGUUCCAUUCCGUUUUUAGAACCAGGGUUGCCAUAUGAGGAUGACAAGCCUGUUGAUUGUCAUCCUUAUAUUUGUAUAUUUAGAAAAUGACGUUUAUUAGAUAUGUGAUGUGAUUCUCAUUCUGUAUUCACAAUUUCACAUGAUCUUUCUUGCAAUAUAUUUCAGUUUCACAAAGUUUGGGGACAACUCAUGAAGACUGGGUACCAGAACUCUCGCUUUGCACAUCAGGUGGAGAGGUUUGCCUGUCUCUACACGAGCCAAGUGGCCAACCUGCUUCUGUAUCCCCCUGACAAACACUAUAGGCCCAGUGACGAUUUCAUGCCGCAUGAAUUUGAUAUUCUCACAGAAUGAUCGACAGAUUGGUGGAAUAUUGAGACCUGAAAAGCCUCAAGGAGUAUUUCCAAAGAGGGGUGGAAUCUAAGCAUGUCAAUUUGUACCAUAUCCAUGUUAUGUGAAACACAUUUCAAAGGGCUCAUAAUUUUUGAGCAUUUGUUUUAAGUUUACAAGUAGAAUUACAUUUUUUUUUUUUCGUUAUUGACUUCACAAGAGGUACUGGUUUUAUUAGCUUCUUUGAAAGUGAGGUAGAUGAAAGCUGCUUGAAGUUGGUCUACCUCUACACAGGCACCCACUAUUAGGGAAAAAGUGGAAAUUUUGAC